UACGUAGGGGCCAAGCGUUGUCCGGAUUUAUUGGGCGUAAAGAGCUCGUAGGCGGUUUGGAUAGUCGGGUGUGAAAACUCCGAGCUCAACUCGGAGACGCCACCCGAUACUGCCAUGACUAGAGUCCGGUAGGGGAGCAGGGAAUUCCUGGUGUAGCGGUGAAAUGCGCAGAUAUCAGGAGGAACACCGGUGGCGAAGGCGCUGCUCUGGGCCGGUACUGACGCUGAGGAGCGAAAGCGUGGGUAGCAAACAGGAUUAGAUACCCUGGUAGUCCACGCCGUAAACGUUGGGCACUAGGUGUGGGCCCUAACCAACGGGGUCCGUGCCGCAGCUAACGCAUUAAGUGCCCCGCCUGGGGAGUACGGCCGCAAGGCUAAA
rnacentral:rRNA from 1 species